UAAAUUGCUAAAAUCUGGGCUGGUGAGAUGACUCAGUAGGUAAGAACAUUUGCUGCCAAGCCUGAUUUUGAUUCCCGGAACUCACUGCUGGAAGCAGAGAAUGAAUUCCUUAAGAUGUCCUCUGACUUCCAUAUCUGGCAUAUGUACACACAUACACAAGCCAAUGUAAAAAACCAAACCAAAUCAACCACACCUCUUUAAUUUGUACCCCAGACACAAAACAUUUAAAGUGGUAAGGAUCCUGUACUGUUUGUGUGUGUGUGUGUGUGUGUGUGUGUGUGUGUGUGUAUACCAGGGCAGCUGUAUCAGCAACCAGAAGAGCAUCAGAUACCCUAAAGCUGUCAUAGGCAGUUGUGACUUGCCCAGUGCAGAUGCUGGGAACUGAACUCAGGUCCUUUAACUGCCAAGUUAUCUUCCCAGCCCCAAAUCCCGUACUGUUGACACGGGUUAGAGAGUUUACACUAAUGCAAUUACAAAGAUGUGGUUAUAUUUGUGUGUGUCAUUACAGAGAUCUCUGUUAUUACAGAGAUUAGAGAGAGAGCUCAGAGGGCUUUCAUUAAAAUGUGCACUCAAAUGCAAAAAUCAGCAAAUGUGAUCUUCUCCCCGCAUUGGAGUCUUGACAAAACUUUACAGUAGCAAACAGGCUAUACACAAGACAGAUUAUUUG
rnacentral:lncRNA from 1 species